rnacentral:pre_miRNA from 1 species
AGAGGAAUAGCUGGAUCAAAUGGUGGUUCCAUUCCCAGAUUUCCAAGGAAUCUCCAUACUGCUUUCCAAAUUGGCUGCACCAAUUUGCAGUCCCACCAGCAAU